UAGAGGAAGUAAAAGUCGUAACAAGGUUUCCGUAGGUGAACCUGCGGAAGGAUCAUUACUGUAAGGAAACGAGGGUCUUGAGACUGCGCCGUUGAAUGGCGUGUGCUCGACUCUUACUCUCUUAACACACCCCGGGGGGUGAAAGUCCCCCCUUUUACAAACACCGAGUUAUACGCAUGUCUUUUAUGAUACUCUACGGAGUAAACAUAACAACUUUCAACAACGGAUCUCUUGGCUUUCGCAUCGAUGAAGAACGCAGCGAACGUGCGAAACGUAAUGUGAAUUGCAGAAUUCAGUGAAUCAUCGAAUCUUUGAACGCAUCUUGCGCUCCUUGGUAUUCCGAGGAGCAUGCCUGUUUGAGUGUCGUGAAAUACUCUCAAUUUCAAUCUUUUUGUUUGAAAUUGGAUUUGGAUGUUGUUGUGGAUCUUGCUACGACUCAUCCUAAAUGCAUUAGCGAUCUGCCUUGAUCACACACAAUGUGAUAAGAUGAGCAUUGUUAUAAUCAAGUCAUGACUGCUUCUAACCGUCCCUUUGGGACAAACGUCUUAUGUCGUUUGACCUCAAAUCAGGUAGGACUACCCGCUGAACUUAAGCAUAUCAAUAAGCGGAGGAAAAGAAACUAACAAGGAUUCCCUUAGUAACGGCGAGUGAAGAGGGAAAAGCUCAAAUUUGAAAUCUGGCAGUCUAAGGCUGUCCGAGUUGUAAUCUAGAGAAGUGUUUUCCGUGCUGGACCGUGUAUAAGUCCUUUGGAACAAGGCGUCAUAGAGGGUGAGAAUCCCGUCUACGACACGGACUCCCAGUGCUCUGUGAUACACUCUCAACGAGUCGAGUUGUUUGGGAAUGCAGCUCAAAAUGGGUGGUAAAUUCCAUCUAAAGCUAAAUACAGGCGAAAGACCGAUAGCGAACAAGUACCGUGAGGGAAAGAUGAAAAGCACUUUGGAAAGAGAGUUAAACAGUACGUGAAAUUGUUGAAAGGGAAACGCUUGAAGUCAGUCGCGUCUUCAGAAACUCAGCCUGGCUUCUGCCUGGUGUACUUUUCUGUUGGACGGGCCAGCAUCAGUUUCGGCCGCCAGAAAAAGGUGGGAGGAAGGUGGCACCUUCUAGGUGUGUUAUAGCCUCUCAUCGUAUGUGGUGGCUGGGACUGAGGACCGCAGCACGCCUCUUAUGACCGGGGUUCGCCCACGUAACGUGCUUAGGAUGCUGGCGUAAUGGCUUUGAACGACCCGUCUUGAAACACGGACCAAGGAGUCUAACAUGCCUGCGAGUAUUUGGGUGGUAAACCCAUAUGCGGAAUGAAAGUGAACAGUUGGGACUUCUGUCAUGGAAGGCACCGACGCCCGGACCAGACCUAUUGUGACGSAUCCGAGGUAGAGCAUGUAUGUUGGGACCCGAAAGAUGGUGAACUAUGCCUGAGUAGGGUGAAGCCAGAGGAAACUCUGGUGGAGGCUC
rnacentral:rRNA from 1 species